CAGACUGGGGACUUCAUUAGGGCAUCUUCCACAAUGGGCGCAAGCCUGAUGGAGCAACACCGCGUGAGGUCCUCCUUUUUUCUUCUCUUCCCUCUCUUUUUUUUUCUCCUCCCUUUCGUUAGAGUAACUGUUCACGCAGUGACGGUAUCCAACCAGAAAGUCACGGCUAACUACGUGCCAGCAGCCGCGGUAAUACGUAGGUGGCAAGCGUUAUCCGGAUUUAUUGGGCGUAAAGCGAGCGCAGGCGGUUGCUUAGGUCUGAUGUGAAAGCCUUCGGCUUAACCGAAGAAGGGCAGCGGAAAACGGGCGACUUGAGUGCAGAAGAGGACAGUGGAACUAAAUGUGUAGCGGUGGAAUGCGUAGAUAUAUGGAAGAACACCAGUGGCGAAGGCGGCUGUCUGGUCUGCAAAUGACGCUGAGGCUCGAAAGCAGGGGGAGCGAACAGGAGUAGAGAAAAAAGGAGUC
rnacentral:rRNA from 1 species